UACGGAGGGUGCGAGCGUUGUCCGGAAUCAUUGGGCGUAAAGGGCGCGUAGGUGGCCCGGUCAGUCUUUGGUGAAAGCGCGGGGCUCAACCCUGCGUCGGCCAGGGAUACUGCCGCGGCUCGAGCACUGUAGAGGCAGGCGGAAUUCCGGGUGUAGCGGUGGAAUGCGUAGAGAUCCGGAAGAACACCGGUGGCGAAGGCGGCCUGCUGGGCAGUUUAGCUGACACUGAGGCGCGACAGCGUGGGGAGCAACAGG
rnacentral:rRNA from 1 species